GGGCGGGAGAAGAUAAGUCGCAAGGAGGGGGCGGGACCUACACCUCAGGAAAGCCGGAGAAUUGGGGCACGAAGCGGGGCUUUGAUGACCCGCAAAGGGCGAGGCAUGCAGGAGGUGGAGGAAUUAAGUGAAACAGGGAAGGUUGUUAAACAGCACCGUGUGGGCGAGGCCUUAAGGGUCGUGGUCCUUGUCUGGGCGGGGUCUUUGGGCGUCGACGAGGCCUGGUUCUGGGUAGGCGGGGCUACUACGGGGCGGUGCCUGCUGUGGAAAUGCCUGCCCGCGCGCUUCUGCCCAGGCGCAUGGGGCAUCGUACUCUAGCCUCCACUCCUGCCCUGUGGGCCUCCAUCCCGUGCCCUCGCUCUGAGCUGCGCCUGGACCUGGUUCUGCCUUCUGGACAAUCUUUCCGGGUCUCGCUCUGUUGCCCAGGUAGGAAUGCAGAGAGGCCCAUUCCAGCCUCGACCCCCCGGGCGCAGCCUCCCGAGUAGCUGGGACUACAGGUGUGCGCCAUGCCCGGUUAAAUUUUUGUAUUUUUUGUAGAGGUGAGGUUUCGCCAUGUUGCUCAGACUGGAAGAUAGCACUGUUACUUGUAUUAGUUUCGUACAUGGAGCUAUUGUAGGAUAGGAGGGACCCCAAAGGGUGCAAGAAAGGAAAUUGAGUGCCAGGGUUGUCAUGUGCCUUGGGCUCAGGUGGAGGGAGCAAAGUCCUGCACACUGGAGUGGUGUACUAGCGGAUCAAGUAUGGACACUGACUCAGACUGAGGAGCAGCUCCACUGCACUGUGUACCGAGGAGACAAGAGCCAGGCUAGCAGGCCCA
rnacentral:lncRNA from 10 species